UAAAAGUGAUCAUGCACGUAUUUUUAGUGAUGAUACAUAGUUGUAAGUAGAUAAUUGGUUGGUGACGUUAUAUAAAUAAAACUAAAUGUACAUUAUUGAUGUCAACAUCUUAAAAUAACAAUGAUUGUGGCUAACAAUACAUCUUUAGUAAUUACGUAAAAUUGUAAUAAAAAAGUGUAGCAUAUAUAUAGUGGUGAUAAAUAAUUGUCACUAAAACAUUUUGUUUAGUUGCAA
rnacentral:lncRNA from 1 species